rnacentral:rRNA from 1 species
AACGAACGCUGGCGGCAGGCCUAACACAUGCAAGUCGAACGCCGUAGCAAUACGGAGUGGCAGACGGGUGAGUAACACGUGGGAACGUACCUUUCGGUUCGGAAUAACUCAGGGAAACUUGAGCUAAUACCGGAUACGUGCGAGAGCAGAAAGAUUUAUCGCCGAAAGAUCGGCCCGCGUCCGAUUAGCUAGUUGGUGAGGUAACGGCUCACCAAGGCGACGAUCGGUAGCUGGUCUGAGAGGAUGAUCAGCCACACUGGGACUGAGACACGGCCCAGACUCCUACGGGAGGCAGCAGUGGGGAAUAUUGGACAAUGGGCGCAAGCCUGAUCCAGCCAUGCCGCGUGAGUGAUGACGGCCUUAGGGUUGUAAAGCUCUUUCGCCAGGGACGAUAAUGACGGUACCUGGAUAAGAAGCCCCGGCUAACUUCGUG